rnacentral:lncRNA from 1 species
AGGAAUUAAAAACACAGAAGUUCUGCAAAAUGAUUUUCAGUAAACAUAGAUAUCUUUCCUGUCACCUUAAAAGUCUUCCAAUGCUACCCAUGAGAAAAUAUAGCUAGAAGUGCAAAAACAUGACAUUUCAAAGACUUUGAAUGAAGCUUUUAUUACACAGUUUUACAGCUCUAACUUUCUUCCCUUUUAUUUCCAGAUUUUAGAAAUUAUAAUAUUCUGCAUUCUCCUUUAUUUUUACAAAAGAAAGGCUGUGAAGCACAUCGUGGUUUUGUUAAUGAUGGUGGCACUGCUGGCUUGUCUAUGAAACCCGGAUGGUAUGAUGGUACACCAUCUCCAUGCACAC